UCCUUAUCAAGAGUGGCGGGAAGAGUUCUGGCUCUAAGAUCCGCCCAGCAACCCUUUGAAGCGAUACUUUGAAGAAGGUGCUAAAUCCAGCCCAAGCCGCUCGUCGGCCGGUGGGGAAGAUAAAAU
rnacentral:ncRNA from 2 species